AACGAACGCUGGCGGCAUGCCUAACACAUGCCAGUCGAACGAACCCUUCGGGGUUAGUGGCGCACGGGUGCGUAACGCGUGGGAAUCUGCCCUUUGCUUCGGUAUAACAGUUAGAAAUGACUGCUAGUACCGGAUGAUGUCUUCGGACCAAAGAUUUAUCGGCAAAGGAUGAGCCCGCGUAGGAUUAGGUAGUUGGUGGGGUAAAGGCCUACCAAGCCGACGAUCCUUAGCUGGUCUGAGAGGAUGAUCAGCCACACUGGGACUGAGACACGGCCCAGACUCCUACGGGAGGCAGCAGUGGGGAAUAUUGGACAAUGGACGCAAGUCUGAUCCAGCAAUGCCGCGUGAGUGAUGAAGGCCUUAGGGUUGUAAAGCUCUUUUACCAGGGAUGAUAAUGACAGUACCUGGAGAAUAAGCUCCGGCUAACUCCGUGCCAGCAGCCGCCGUAAGAC
rnacentral:rRNA from 1 species